AGGACGAACGCUAGCGGCGUGCUUAACACAUGCAAGUCGAGCGGUAAGGCCUUCGGGUACACGAGCGGCGAACGGGUGAGUAACACGUGGGUGAUCUGCCUUGCACUUCGGGAUAAGCCUGGGAAACUAGGUCUAAUACCGGAUAUGACCCGAGAAUGCAUGUUCUGGGGUGGAAAGAUUUAUCGGUGCGAGAUGGGCCCGCGGCCUAUCAGCUUGUUGGUGAGGUAACGGCUCACCAAGGCGACGACGGGUAGCCGACCUGAGAGGGUGACCGGCCACACUGGGACUGAGACACGGCCCAGACUCCUACGGGAGGCAGCAGUGGGGAAUAUUGCACAAUGGGCGAAAGCCUGAUGCAGCGACGCCGCGUGGAGGAUGACGGCCUUCGGGUUGUAACUCCUUUUGUACAGGGACGAAGCGAAAGUGACUGUACCUGUAGAAGAAGCACCGGCCAACUACGUGCCAGCAGCCGCGGUAA
rnacentral:rRNA from 1 species